CCUCCCCAACACAGACCCUCCCUCCGAGGUCAAGUGGGCCUCAAGCAAGCUGCUUGUCUGAAGGCACCGCCAGCAUCUCCCUGACGACGCUGCGGCGGCAGGCUGGGGGAGCCCCACCUUUGGCAGGCAGGGAAACUCAGAGUCAAGGGCUACUCUAGGACUGUGAGGGUUUGACACCAACAGGAGGAACCCACGGCCCACGAACCCAGAGGCCAUGGGAGGAGGCUCUGGUGUUUUCAGGGAGAAGGAGGAGCUCCGAGGCCCGUCACCACCGGAGUGAGAGUCACACCGGCUCCAGCCUAUCGCUGAAGCCGCUCAAGUGCAUCGACGUGUAGCUGGUACAAGAGUGAACGCUGAGCUGCUUCUCAGGGAGGUGGGC